UAGUUCGCCACAGUAUCGUUUAGUCUCGUCUGGUCUUCUGCCGGUCGUAGUCAGCAGUCCGCGUCGGGGCUGCCGAGUUAAGAUGGAAGAAAGUCGUGACGCGGGUCGUGGACGCUGCAAAUCACGUGCGUGAGGACGAUUUCCAGAGCGGCCCAAGCGGCGUCCGGGAUCAUAGAGCAGGUCGGGAGGUUCAGCAGUGAAGCUCCGCCCGUGAAGCCCCUAACGAGCAGAUACUGAUCUCCAUUAAUCACAGUGUCUCCUCUGAUGGUGAGAGUGUCUCCGUUUACAGUGUGAUGCACAGACUGAGACACUGCAGUCCAUCUACUCCAUGGAUCCUGUUUAUACCACUGAUACGUCCAUCCAUCAUAACCUUUAAUCUCACACUUCAGAGUGACUGACUCUCCACUGAACACAGGACUCCGUUUGGGCUCUACAGUGAGUUCAGCAGUAGUACUGAUCUCCAUGAUUCACAGUGUCUCUUCUGAUGGUGAGAGUGUCUCCGUUUACAGUGUGAUACUCAGAAUGAGACACUGCAGUCCAUCUACUCCAUGGAUCCUGUUUAUACCACUGA